rnacentral:rRNA from 1 species
AGUUGGUGAGGUAACGGCUCACCAAGGCAACGAUGGAUAGGGGAACUGAGAGGUUUAUCCCCCACACUGGUACUGAGACACGGACCAGACUCCUACGGGAGGCAGCAGUGAGGAAUAUUGGUCAAUGGACGCAAGUCUGAACCAGCCACGUCGCGUGAAGGAAGACGGCCCUACGGGUUGUAAACUUCUUUUGUAAGGGAAUAAAGUGAGCCACGUGUGGCUUUUUGCAUGUACCUUACGAAUAAGGAUCGGCUAACUCCGUGCCAGCAGCCGCGGUAAUACGGAGGAUCCGAGCGUUAUCCGGAUUUAUUGGGUUUAAAGGGUGCGCAGGCGGGGGAUUAAGUCGGCGGUGAAAUUUUGCAGCUCAACUGUAAAAGUGCCUUCGAAACUGGUUUCCUUGAGUGUAGAUGAAGUAGGCGGAAUUUGUGGUGUAGCGGUGAAAUGCAUAGAUAUCACGAGGAACUCCGAUUGCGCAGGCAGCUUACUAAACUACUACUGACGCUCAGGCACGAAGGCGUGGGGAUCAAACAGGAUUAGAUACCCUGGUAGUCCACGCAGUAUUCUAUAUUACUAGCUGUUUGCGAUACA